GCCUGCAGUGCCCACUCCCACGUGAAAGACUGGCUCGUACAUUUCCCCAUUCAGCUGAUGGUGAGUGCAGUGCUAUUUUAAGCCCACAUGGAAGUACUUUUUUUUUUUUAUAAGGACCAUCUGCUACCGGCCCCAGCCCAGAUGAUACAGUUAGAGCCUACCCACAGCAUCCUCCCCGCCUUCAGACAGUUCCAGGAACAGGGUUUUGGAUCCUAAAAUCAACCAAAGGCAGAAUCUGACCGCUUUCCAAAGCAAUGAUCCUUUAGAUUGAGAACAAAAUGGUGGAACAGCUCUUCAUUUUUCCCGUCUCAAGAAGUCACAAGGCCCAGAAUGCAAGAAAAUCGUGGCUUUU
rnacentral:lncRNA from 1 species